GCGGAAAUACAUGCAACGUGAUAUAUGACGAGCAUUGUAAACAAAAGUGGAUGUUACUCAUUAGCUACCCUGGAAAGGGAAGGGAAUGCCGUCUCAAGAGUCUUUGACUUGAAGCUCCAGGAUGUUGUGUGAAGUCCUGCUGUCAUCGCUAUGGUUCCUGUUUGUCAUCUUCUGGGUCGAGACAAUAAGUGUGUGGCUGUUUCUGUCCAUGUUCUACCAGGACCGAGUAUUUUACCACUGGGGAGAUGGGGUAUUUACAGAUGAUCCUGGACCGAUGAUAUACAUGUUGAGCAGAGUUGAUACCAGUAUGCAGACAGAGAUGCAGACCUGAGACAGGAAGAGAUCAAGAAGUCAACUGGAAGACACUAAAUAGAGGGCUGUUGCAGUUAUGUGACAGAGGAACAUAUGAUGAAAAGCAUUAGCUCUUUUUCCUUUGCACUGACUGCCUUGUACACAGUUGUGCACAGUCCUUGUUAACAUACAACUAUAUUGCCAAAAGUAUUCACUCACCCAUCCAAAUAAUUGAAAUCAGGUGUUCCAAUAUCUUCCAUGGCCACAGGUGUAUAAAAUCAAGCACCAAGGCAUGCAAACUGUUUCUACAAACAUUUGUGAAAGAAUGGGUCGCUCUCAGGAGCUCAGUGAAUUCCAGCGUGGUACUGUGAUAAGACCUGUGCAACAAGUCCAGUCGUGAAAUUUCCUCGCUCCUAAAUAUUCCACAGUCAACUGUCAGUGGUAUUAUAACAAAGUGGAAGCGAUUGGGAAUGACAGCAACUCAGCCACGAAGUGGUAGGCCACGUAAAAUGACGGAGCGAGGUCAGCGGAUGCUGAGGCGCAUAGUGCACAGAGGUCGCCAACUUUCUGCAGAGUCAAUCGCUACAGACCUCCAAACUUCAUGUGGCCUUCAGAUCAGCUCAAGAACAGUGCGUAGAGAGCUUCAUGGAAUGGGUCUCCAUGGCCGAGCAGCUGCAUCCAAGCCAUACAUCACCAAAUGCAAUGCAAAGCGUGGACUCUAGAGCAGUGGAGACGCGUUCUCUGGAGUGACGAAUCAUGCUUCACCAUCUGGCGAUCUGAUGGACGAGUUUGGCGGUUGCCAGGAGAACGGUACUUGUCUGACUGCAUUGUGCCAAGUGUAAAGUUUGGUGGAGGGGGGAUUAUGGUGUGGGGUUGUUUUUCAGGAGCUGGGCUUGGCCCCUUAGUUCCAGUGAAAGGAACUCUGAAUGCUUCAGCAUACCAAGAGAUUUAAAACAAUUCCAUGCUCCCAACUUUGUGGGAACAGUUUGGGGAUGGCCCCUUCCUGUUCCAACAUGACUGUGCACCAGUGCACAAAGCAAGGUCCAUAAAGACGUGGAUGAGAGAGUUUGGUCUGGAUGAACUUGACUGGCCUGCACAGAGUCCUGACCUCAACCCGAUAGAACACCUUUGGGAUGAAUUACAGCGGAGACCAUCAUGGUGCGUUCCAUUUACCUCGGCCAGGCCUUGUCGUCCAACAUCAGUGUGUGACCUCACAAAUGCGCUUCUGGAAGACUGGUCACACUCCUAAACCUUGUGGAAAGCCUUCCCAGAAGAGUUGAAGCUGUUAUAGCUGCAAAGGCUGGACCAACAUCAUAUUAAACCCCAUGGAUUAAGAAUGGGAUGUCACUUAAGUUCAUAUUCGAGUCAAGGCAGGUGAGCCAAUACUUUUGGCAAUAUAGUGUAGGUAAAUGUAGGCCCACUUUUAAUGUGAAGACACAAAUAAGACAUAGAGGGAGGUCCUCAACGAUUGACGUGAGCCACCCCCACUGAUGUAACAUUUAUACUUUCACUUUCAGAUUUUUGGGAAGCAGAAUGAAUGUAGCAGAAAAUGCAAUACAAAGGAUGAGUUUAGUGCAUCUUUCUUUUUUUUCUUAAACUUCAUUUUGAGACUUGCACUGAGAUGAUAUUUUGAUCAUAAUACCGUUCUAUGCAACUGUAGUUGUUGCUUUCUGCAGCCAUAUUUGUUUUAAAUAUCAGAUUGCAGUACAUCAGUUAUAGGUUAGGUCUUUGAAUGUCAUUAACAGUUAUCAGAUAUUUUGGUGUAUGUGUAAUGGUACAAGCUUAACAAGGAGGUCAUUUUUAAUAUUGGAGGUGGUGGAGCCAUACACUUGAGUUUAGAUGUAAGUCUGAACCAAACAGAUAUAUGAUGAUAAAGAGUUCAUAGUUUGAACAAGGAUUUUAUGAGAACCCUCACCUACAUUAGAUGAACUGUUAAAACAACAUUAUUUGAGCUUAAAGGUUCAUUAUUAACAUUGGAAAUACUUUCAGCUACAUCUUGUGGUCUUUAUCGGCAGAUGGAUUUUGCUCAGUUGUCAUGUAUCUCUGGCUCGAUAUAAGACCACCUACUUAUUACAUGACUGAAAUUCCACACUGAGGUCAUGUGAUAACUGAACCAUCUCCAUGGCAAGUGCAAAAGCACCAUCUGCUGAUGAAGAUCACAAGAGGGGACUGAAAGCCCUGUGUGAACCUUGUGUUAAGAUUUUUUUUUUUUUUUUCAGAAAGGAGCAACACAAUUUUGUGGUUGUGUGUCUAAAGACAGAAAUAUAAUAGUGGUGAGGGUAUAAACUAUGAUGAGAAUCCGCUCUCAAAAUAAUAUGUUGAUGUCAUAUCCAUUGAAUGAGAUGAAAGUUCAAUUAUACUUUGAAAAUAUAUAUAUAUAUAUAUAUAUCUCAUUGCAAGCCUGUAAGGUUAUUGGUCUGCCAGACAUUUUUGUAUUCCAUCUUGGUCUCUGUCAAUUAAAGGGUUUGUAUUUGAACAAAACCACUA